AAAUAUUGAAGCAUGCACGUGGACCCAAAAAUCUAAAGAGUAAGAUUAGCUUUGACCACUUAUUAGAUUACAUAGGUGUAACGCAUCCUCCUCACUACUCACACGUCUCUGUUUUUUUAUUUUUUUCUUAUUGUAUAUAAAUCUUAUAACAAUUUCUUAUUAUAAUUUUUGUGUGUGUUUAUUAUUAAUAUUUAAUUAAAUAUAAGACUUACGAGUGAUUUUUAUAUAAAAUUUUGAAUACGUAGGUUAAUAAAUUUAUAUCGAAUUUUUGUUUUUUUGUUUUUUUAUGUUGUUGUUACUUUUUCAUCGGUGUUGAAUGUGACACUCUCGAUACAUCGCUUUCGAUGUGAAAAUCUUCAAAUAUAAGGGAUCAC
rnacentral:lncRNA from 1 species